UGCAAAAGUUUUUCAUGAACUGUACUUGUUUCCUUAUUGCCACGUGAAUUCCUCCUUUCAUACUGGAAAAGUUUCAUCGUUAUAAUGCCAAUUGAUAUUCAAUGAAUAAAUAAGUGAAUGCAUUAAUUAUUACAAGAGCAACCAACAAAGUUACUACGAAGCUUUUGUGUCCGGGUACUAUUAUAUCGUUGGAAUUUUUGGUUCGAUGGAAAUGGAAAUGAACGGAGCAAAUUUCAAAGCUGCUGUGUCUGAUGAUGGAGUAACCAUGCCAAAUCUAAGGCAGGUCACAGUAGUCCAGAGAGUAAAAAUGAAGAGCAUUCAAAGUCUGCCAAUUUUGUAUGUAUUCCACCAGUAAGUUUACUAUCCAAUAUAGGUUUUGAACAAUCAAAAAAGCAUUUAGAAUGCAUGGAGCAAACAAAAGUGACAAAUCCCAAAAAACACAAGAUUUCUUAAGGAAUAUAAAUCCUAAAUAACAACCUUUAACUUCCUUUAAGAAAAGAAAUUCCUUUUCUCAAAGGUUGAUAAUAGAAGGAAGCUGUAGGCCAAGUCAGCUGACAAGAAAAUCUUUUGAGGUCAUUACUCUUUUGGAUGACGAAGAUUCAAUGUGCCUCCAUCGACAAAUCUUCCAAACAGAAUGACAAAAAGAGUUCUACCUUUACCAUCAGGAAUUGAAAGGGGACCCAAGUUGCUUCAAUCUCCUUACUGGUUGGUUCCAGUGCAUCAUCAACUGAAGGCAGUGAAUCUGACAGUUCUGUUACAGUGCUUAACCCCCUUCCAGGCCCUUCAUGUAUGUAUGUGGAUUCAUGCCCAGAUUUAUCACCAAACUCAGCAACAGAUUCAUCUGACUCUGAAAUUGAAGUCAUGAAACUACCCUAAAUUGGCUAUGAUAAAGUUGAUAUUAAGUUGAAUGUCAGUCAACCUAAUAUUGGAAGCACUCUAGCCACUUGCAUCAAUUCUUCUAGCUCUGGUUUGAAUUGGCAAAAGUAUUCUAGUGAAAAAUGGACAUCAGGAAUGAUAAAUUUCUAUGAUAGCGAUGGAUCUGAUAGAGAUUUGGAAGCAAUCUUAAAAUCUCUUCCGAAAAACGUCAAGUGGCAUUUGGAUAUCGAAGAUUGUCGUGGAAGCGAUUUACAGAGAAACCGUUAUUUUGGAAAGAGUGCCAAAAUGCAGUGCACUAACUGUAGCCAGUGGGAUCAUCUGACUAAGGACUGCACAGAUCCUAGGAAAAUCAUUAGUUGGGGUAUAUGCGGAUUGCUUGGACACAAGCAAUUUGCAUGUCCAAAUAAAGUUUGUUUGGGUUGCGGCCGGCCAAACAAAAUUCUUGUUGAGUGCUGUCCUGAAUGUCGUCGAGAGCAAAAUAUUAUUUGUAUGAUCUGCCGUUCUAAGCAUGUCACUCAGCGCUGUCCCGAUCUGUGGAGGCUGUCGUCAAUCUGUC